rnacentral:rRNA from 1 species
CACUUAACAAAGGGAAGCAAGACCGCGAGGUGGAGCAAAUCCCCAAAAAGUGUCCCAGUUCGGACUGCAGUCUGCAACUCGACUGCACGAAGUCGGAAUUGCUAGUAAUCGCGGAUCAGAAUGCCGCGGUGAAUACGUUCCCGGGUCUUGUACACACCGCCCGUCACACCAUGGGAGUCGGGAAUGCCCGAAGCCGGUGGCCCAAUCGAAAGAAGGGAGCCGUCGAAGGCAGGCCGGAUGACUGGGGUGAAGUCGUAACAAGGUACC